rnacentral:rRNA from 1 species
CUUAAAAUAAAGAUAAUACUUAGUGAAAAUCUUGGUGAAAAAUCAAAGGACGUCGCGCGGCGAAACGUUAUAAGAAGGCAUUGGCCUGUGAUCUAUAAAUUUCCUAAGAGUAAACUCAACUUACAAAAAUAAUGUGAAUUGAAUCAUCUUAGUAACAUUAAAUUAAAUCAAACGAGAACUCGUUAGUAAUGGCGAAUGAAAACGAGAAUUUAUAAGCUUAUUUUAUUAAAAUAAUUAGAAAGUUUCUUUAGCAGGUUUGACUAGUCCUGUAUAAAUUUAUUUAAAUAAAAUGUUUUUAAGUAAUACGAAUAUACUUUGUAUGAAAAUAGGAGAACCACCUUCUAAGCUUAAUGAGAUUUUUUAACCGAUAGUGAACGAGUACCGUGAGGAAAAGAUUUCUUCCGAAAAAGGAAAAAUUAGAAGCUAAGUAUUUAUAAGUAUUUGGAGUUUAAGAAACAACAAAGUGCCUUUUGCAUAAUGAGUCAGUAAGUUAUUAGUUAUAGCAAGCUUAAAUAGUUUUAUGUAGGCUUUAAAAGUUAUGAUUGAUAAACCUGAAGCCGAGUGAUCUAACUGAGAGCAGGUUGAAAAUAUAUUAAAAUGUUUUUGAGGACCGAACUCAUGUAUGUAGCAAAAUGCAGAGAAGACUUUUAGUUAGGGGCGAAAGACUAAUCAAACUCGGUGAUAGCCGGUUUUUCACGAAAUGUAUUUUAGUACUACAUUGUACUUGAUAAAAUAAAGGUAGAGUACAUAUUGAAUAAAGGGAUGUAAAAGUUUACUGAGUUGAAUUUAACUUCAAAUUUUAUUUUAAUUUAUACAAUAGCCAGUCUUUGGGCGAUAAGGUUCAAAGACAAAAGGAAAACAAUCCAGAUCAUAUACUAAGGUCUCAAAAUUAUAGUUUAGUGAAAAGGUUUUUAUAUUUUCAAAUAAUUUGGAUAGACUUAGAAGCAGUCUUUCAUUAGAGAAAGCGUUUUAGCUCGUUAUUUAUUUAUAUAAACUAAAAAUUAAUAGAGACUUUAAACUAUAUACCGAAGUAGUGAAUAUAAUAAUGGUAGUGAAACGUUCUGUGUUUUUUAUUUAAGAAAUUAAAUUAAAUUUCAGAAGUGCUAAUGCUGACAUGAGUAGCGAAAACUACGUAAGAAUCGUAGUCAUUUAUUUCUGGUUUUCAAUGUAAUUUUAAAUUCGUUGAAUUAGUCGGCCCUUAAAAGAAGAAUGAUAAUUGUACUUGAUAGGUAAAACUAAUUAUAUGUAUGAAACAAUAUAAAAAAAUAAAGGAAGCAUAAAUUUAUGUUAAUUGGUUAUCAUAUAAACUGCUUCCUUCAUUUUCGAGAAAAAAUUAUAAUUAAAUAAAACCGUACUAAAACCGACACAGGUAAAAUAAAAUGAAUGAAUGAAUUGUAUUAAAGGAACUCGGCAAAUUGUCUCUGUAAGUUAGCGAAAAAGAGAGCCAUUUUAAGGCAUAACUAAAAAAAGCAACGACUGGUUAACAAAACCACAGGACUCUGCGAAUCGAAUUGAGAUGUAUAGAGUUUGACGUCUGCCCAGUGCUUAAAAGUGAAGUUUUUUAGUGUUAGCUAAAAUUUUAAACUUAAGUAAACGGCGGUUCUAACUAUAAGAAUCCUUAGGUAGCGAAAUUCCUUGACGGGUAAAUUCCGUCCUGCAUGAAUGACGUCACGAUUGCUUUACUGUCUCUAAUACAAGUUCAGCGAAAUUACAUAAUCUAUGAAAAUGUGGAUUACCUACAGUAAGACGGAAAGACCCUAGAUCCUUUACUUUAUUUUUGUAUUGUAAAAGGUAAUACAUUUGUGUAGAAUAAGUGGGAGUGAUGAAUACUAAAUAUGAAAUACCACUCAGUGUAAUAAAUUUUACUAACCUGCAUUAGGAACAGUACAAAAAAGAAAGUUUACUUGGGACGAGUACCUCCUAAAUAGUAACGGAGGUGUGCAAAGGUAAGUUACAUCUGUUAAAAUUAACAGUGCAGCGUAUAAUGACAAAAGCUUGCUUAACAAAAAGAUUGAUAAAUCAAUUUGAAACGAAAGUUUGUCAUAGUGAUCCGGCAAUAUUGAGUGGAAAUAUUGUCGCUCAACAAAUAAAAGGAACUCUAGGGAUAACAGAUUCAUCGUGACUAAGAGUUCUUAUUGACGUCACGGUUUGAUACCUCGAUGUCGACUCAUCUUAUCCUGAAAUUGAAGCAGAUUUCAAGGGUCUAGUUGUUCGCUAGUUAAAAAGGUACGUGAGUUGGGUUCAGAACGUCGUGAGACAGUUCGGUCCCUAUCUACUGUAGGAAUAGAAAAGUAUAAAAUUUUGUUUUUAGUACGAGAGGACCAAAACAUUUUAACCUAUGGUGUAUUGAUUAUUGGACCACUAAUACAGUCAAGUAGCUACGUUAAAAACUUAUAUGUGUUGAAUGAAUCAAAAACAUUAAAAUAUCUUGUUUACUUUUCAAGAAUAGUUUAAAAGAUUAUUAAAAAGAUCGAUUUAAAGUGAAUUAAUUAGUAAUAAAUAGCUUAUAAAAACGAAUUGUUCAUAAAAGCAUAAA